rnacentral:tRNA from 1 species
GCGCGCUUAGCUCAGUUGGUAGAGCAGCUGAUUUACACUCAGCAGGCCGUAGGUUCGAGUCCUACAGCGCGCACAA